rnacentral:snRNA from 1 species
GGAUGUGAGGGCCAUUCAGCAGCAAUUUCUGCCAUUCCACUGAUCACCAGGGUUGAUUUGGCUGAUCUGGUUGGCUAAAUAUGUGUCCCCUUUCUCCCCCAUGGCUCUCUGGGCCUUCCUCUGGAAAUUUCAGGCUUAGUCUGAGAGGACACCUUCCUCCAAAGAGGAGGAACAUUCUUUGGUCAAGGUUACAAGGUUAUAUGAAUAGCUGCUAGAAUUCCUUUUAGUCUUUCUUUUUUUCUAUCCUACUGGUUCUGCUCUUCUGGAAAAUGCUGACUAAUGGCAGUUUGUUUUCUUUU